rnacentral:tRNA from 1 species
GGGGGUGUAGCUCAAUGGUAGAGCUGGCGGCUCAUAACCGUCUGGUCGCAGGUUCGAUCCCUGCCGCCCCUACCA